AUUGAACGCUGGCGGCAGGCCUAACACAUGCAAGUCGAGCGAGCGGCGGACGGGUGAGUAAUGUAUGGGGACUGCCCGAUAGAGGGGGAUAACUACUGGAAACGGUAGCUAAUACCGCAUACUAUCGGAAAACCCAUAUGGGAUUAGCUAGUAGGUGAGGUAAUGGCUCACCUAGGCGACGAUCCCUAGCUGGUCUGAGCGGAUGAACAGCCACACUGGGACGGAGACCCGGCCCGUAGUACUGCGGAGGGCGCAGUGGGGUAUAUUGCACAAUGGGCGCAAGCCUGAUGCAGCCAUGCCGCGUGUAUGAAGAAGGCCCGAGGGGUGUAAUGUACUUUCAGUCGGGGGGCGUUACCGACAGAAGAAGCACCGGCUAACUCCGUGCCAGCAGCCGCGGUAAUAC
rnacentral:rRNA from 1 species